CAGAGAAUAGUUUUAAUUAGAAUCUUAGCUUUGGGAGUUAAGGGCGGGAGUUAAAAUCUCCUUUCUCUGA
rnacentral:tRNA from 1 species